rnacentral:lncRNA from 1 species
GCCGCCGUCGUCGGCGUGUCCGAGGAGCGGGUGGUGGAAGAAGUCGGCAAGGGAGGCGCACCCGUGCCCCUGGCGGGGGCGCGGGCGCCUCGUCUUCCUUUCCCCUCUCCUCUCCUCCCCCCCUCGCCGCGCCGGCGGGGGGUGGGUGGCGUGGGGCGGUGUGACUCGGAGGACUUGGCGAGCGCUCGGGGUUGCCC